rnacentral:rRNA from 1 species
AGCAGUAGCCACGGUAAUACGUAGGUGGCAAGCGUUGUCCGGAAUUAUUGGGCGUAAAGGGCUCGCAGGCGGUUUCUUAAGUCUGAUGUGAAAGCCCCCGGCUCAACCUGGGAAUGGCGCUUGUGACUGCAAAGCUAGAGUGCGGCAGAGGGGGAUGGAAUUCCGCGUGUAGCAGUGAAAUGCGUAGAUAUUAGGAAGAACACCAGUGGCGAAGGCGACCUUCUGGACGAAAACUGACGCUGAGGCGCGAAAGCCAGGGGAGCGAACGGGAUUAGAUACCCCAGUAGUCCCUGUCUCUUAUAC